rnacentral:misc_RNA from 1 species
AACGCACCUUGCGCCCUUUGGUAUUCCGAAGGGCAUGCCUGUUUGAGUGUCAUUAAAUUCUCAACCUUGGAAAGCUUUUUGUUUUCCAUGGCUUGGAAGUGGGGGUUGCGGGCUUUUCGAAGUCGGCUCCUCUGAAAUGCAUUAGCUGGGUUUGCGCCUUCAGCCUAUUGGUGUGAUAAUUAUCUACGCCUCUUGGUCGUUAGCGUGUUGUACUUUCUAGCUUCAAAUCGUCCUUCAAUGGACAAUACUUGACCAUUUGACCUCAAAUCAGGUAGGACUACCCGCUGAACUUAA